UACAGAGGUCUCAAGCGUUGUUCGGAUUCAUUGGGCGUAAAGAGUGCGUAGGCGGCGCGGUAAGUCGAGUGUGAAAUCUCGGGACUUAACUCCGAAACUGCAUUCGAUACUGCCGUGCUUGAGGACUGGAGAGGAGACUGGAAUUUACGGUGUAGCAGUGAAAUGCGUAGAUAUCGUAAGGAAGACCAGUGGCGAAGACGGGUCUCUGGACAGUUCCUGACGCUGAGGCACGAAGGUCAGGGGAGCAAACGGG
rnacentral:rRNA from 1 species